UAAUGUAUGCCUUUUAAAAUCUGUAUAUA
rnacentral:piRNA from 1 species